AACGAACGCUGGCGGCAGGCCUAAUACAUGCAAGUCGAGCGCACUUUUCGGAGUGAGCGGCGAACGGGUGAGUAACGGGUGGGAACGUACCCUUCACUAAGGAAUAGCCACUGGAAACGGUGAGUAAUGCCUUAUACGCCCUUUUGGGGAAAGAUUUAUCGGUGAAGGAUCGGCCCGCCUUAGAUUAGGUAGUUGGUGGGGUAAUGGCCUACCAAGCCUACGAUCUAUAGCUGGUUUGAGAGGAUGAUCAGCCACACUGGGACUGAGACACGGCCCAGACUCCUACGGGAGGCAGCAGUAGGGAAUCUUAGACAAUGGGCGCAAGCCUGAUCUAGCCAUGCCGCGUGUGUGACGAAGGCCUUAGGGUCGUAAAGCACUUUCGCCAGAGAUGAUAAUGACAGUAUCUGGUAAAGAAACCCCGGCUAACUCCGUGCCAGCAGCCGCGGUAAUACGGAGGGGGUUAGCGUUGUUCGGAAUUACUGGGCGUAAAGCGUACGUAGGCGGAUUAAUCAGUCAGAGGUGAAAUCCCAGGGCUCAACCCUGGAACUGCCUUCGAUACUGUUAGUCUUGAGUUCGAGAGAGGUGAGUGGAAUUCCGAGUGUAGAGGUGAAAUUCGUAGAUAUUCGGAGGAACACCAGUGGCGAAGGCGGCUCACUGGCUCGAUACUGACGCUGAGGUACGAAAGUGUGGGGAGCAAACAGGAUUAGAUACCCUGGUAGUCCACACCGUAAACGAUGAAUGCCAGUCGUCGGCAAGUAUACUUGUCGGUGACACACCUAACGGAUUAAGCAUUCCGCCUGGGGAGUACGGUCGCAAGAUUA
rnacentral:rRNA from 1 species